CGGAAGAAGAUGUACUCGGUGUAGCUGCUCCAGAUCUUGUCGUCGCGGUACUGGUUGACGAAGGCGGCGGUGCCUGAGGAGUUACACGCCACCAUGUGGAAGCCGGCCUCGGACAGGCGAUCGAACGCCUGCUCCAGGACUUGGAAGGAGUCUGGAAUUCAACACAAAUAGAAUCAUUAACACAUGGAAUGGGGACCAUGAAGCAUCUAUCCAGCCAAAAAAAGAGGAAAAGCUCUAAAAAAGAACCAAGAAAAUAAUAUACCAGUGGAUGGAUUUUGGUUUCUCUUCCAAACCCAUCACAACCCCUUGAAGGCGAAAUAUGGGCAAAUUUUGCUACACACGUCAUUCUUGGGACAAGCAGGCCAAACCAAGGGCUUUUGGCCUCCUGCAAGCAUGGAACAUGACUGAAUGGAUUCCAUAAAUGGGCUCCUUUGCCCUCUGGCUUCUGGUACUGUCAAUGACCUCUUUCUGGCAGGAGAUUGAAGAACAAAGUAUGAGCGAAGUGGGUAUUUAUUCUCUCAAUUCCUUUUCUGUUAGAUGGCAGCUCAAUGCAUCCUUUUACCAAAGGUUCCAGCUCUACUCUGGUUUUGUAAAUAAUUCCCUCAAAUUACCCCAUUAGAUGGAAGAGUGAUCUUGGCUUCUUUUAUUGUAAGCUUGAGUGCAAAACUAUUAUUCUAUGUUGAUUUUCCAAAAGUCAGCCCACACCACUGGAAGGAGUCUCUUCAUUAAAAUCUCCUCCAUUCCCCAGUGUGAGUGUGUCAAGCAUUUCCUGUUGGGAUCCUGCCUGGUACAGAUAUCAAAGUUACACGCACAUCAAAAUAUGAGUUGUAUGUCUUAUUUUCUGCUAUAAGAAGUACGUUAUGUAAAAUAGACAUGUGUUCCUUGGAAAUGUGGUAUAAUUCACCUAUAAAACCAUCUUUUUAGGGGCAGAGAUUUAUUAGUAGUUAUUAAUCUAUACAUAUUUUCUGUUUCAGUGUCAAUUUUGGAGUAUUGUCAAAAAUAUCUAUUAACUUAAGAUUUCAAUUUUGUAGCCAUUUAGCAUUCAUAAUAUUUUUGUAUAACUUUUAGAUCUUUCACACUGAAGCUAUUUUUAUUUUUAUUUACUUACAAAUCAAAUAGGUAUUCUGUAUGUUGCCUUAGGGAAUUUAAAUGAUGUAGCCACUGUGGAAAUGGUUUGUUAGUUCCUCAAUAAGUUAUAUAUACAAUUACCAUAUAACCUAGCAAUUCCACUCUUAGGUAGAACUGAAAACAGGUGUUCAGCCAAAAACUUGUACAAGAGUAAACAGCAGUCACAGUGGCUGAAAGAUGAGACACCAUCACCUGUCCAUCAACUAAUGUAUGUAUAAACAAAAUGUCAUAUAUCUAUACAAUGGAAUAUUUUUCCCCUAGAGAAAGGAAUGGGGUACUGAUACAUGCUACAAUAUGGAUGAAUCUUGCAAUAUUAUGCUAAGUCAAAACAACCAGUCUCCAGGGGCCACGUGUGCUUCUGUUGUAUGAAAUAUCUAGAGUAGGCAACUCCAUAGAGAGAGAAGAGAUUAAUGAUUGCCACAAGCUGCUAGGAGAGAGGGAGGUAGAGUAGCUAUUUUAUUUUUAUUUUUAAAAAUUGUAUUGGAGUAUAGUU